AACGAACGCUGGCGGCAUGCCUAACACAUGCAAGUCGAACGAGACCUUCGGGUCUAGUGGCGCACGGGUGCGUAACGCGUGGGAACCUGCCCUUAGGUUCGGAAUAACUCCCCGAAAGGGGUGCUAAUACCGGAUAAUGUCUUCGGACCAAAGAUUUAUCGCCUUUGGAUGGGCCCGCGUUGUAUUAGCUAGUUGGUAGGGUAAAAGCCUACCAAGGCGACGAUCCAUAGCUGGUCUGAGAGGAUGAUCAGCCACACUGGGACUGAGACACGGCCCAGACUCCUACGGGAGGCAGCAGUGGGGAAUAUUGGACAAUGGGCGAGAGCAUGAUCCAGCAAUGCCGCGUGAGUGAUGAAGGCCUUAGGGUUGUAAAGCUCUUUUACCCGGGAUGAUAAUGACAGUACCGUAAGAAUAAGCUCCGGCUAACUCCGUG
rnacentral:rRNA from 1 species